ACAUGGGUUUCUGUCUUCUUAGGAAUCAAGAAUACAGAGGUACGAGCCUAUAGAACAGAUCCUGUUCAAGUAAGGUCGUGCCAUUGUGUCACUCCAUUGAGUCUAUAUACAUACUCUCGUUUGUACAUUCCACCGAUGUGGGAUGAGACUAUCCCGUAUUUCACCCUAUUGAGUUUACGUUUAGUCAAGAAAAUCUACACUUCGCAUGCCCUUUCUUAAAAGGGAGCAUAAAUCAUAAAAAAAUAUCUCAUUUGUUCCCUUAUCCACUAUAUAUCAGUUAAUAUAAACAAUCUAGUCUCUUUGGAUGCACAUAGUAGAGUUGAAAUGA